rnacentral:lncRNA from 1 species
AAUAUUUGUGAAUGAAGCGGUAAGACAUCUGGGAUUUGCUUCAGAUAUACUUUGGUUCCUGUUGGGGAGAGGGGAGACGGAGCCAGGUAAGGUGUGAGUGGGUCACUGCUGAAGCCUGUUGACUGGCUCAGUGCAGGUGCCAGGCAAAGCUCAGACCCCCCUCCCCAACCUCCCCACCUGAGCGCUGCCCUGCGGGACCCCAUCCCAGUGUGGGGGCAUCGUGGAGGGGACACAGUCUAACCUUACUCCAAAGAGUUCCCCGGUUGUGGAAACUCACACUCAUUCUUGUGGUUCUUAAGCUUGCCCAAAGAACUUCAAGAAAAACCUUCUGGAUGACCCUAGGAUGAUUCGUGUCAUCUGCAGGCUGUAGGGGGCGCUAGAAGAACGUAAGCCUCUGUGGGCUGAGCGACAGCGCAACUCAGGCCUUGGGGAAGAUUCCGGAAGUUCUGAAAGAGCGUCCCCCAGGGCACAGAGGGCAUUUCACCUGUAAAAGCCAAAUGGUAGUUCCCUCCUGCCCCCCGUGGUUAUGAGAAAGAUCCAGUGUGGUUACACAGAUGGAACAACACAAAGGAGUUACAGGCGAAAAAGUUGCCUGAAGCCGGGACAACCAAAUGGCAUUGGGUCAGGAGACGUGUUUGCGUCCUAAGCCAGCUCUUGCAAUGUGGCAGAAGGAGCACCCGGAUCCAGAGAACUCUGGUUUCAAUUCCGGCCACACUCCUGCAGAGCUGUGUGGCCUUGGGUAGGUCACCGCCCCGCUCUGAGUAUCAGUUUCCACACCUGCAGCACGGGCAGCACCUAGAUGAGAGACAUUCAUUGGUGUGUCUUUUGCCCACUGAGCCCAGGCCCUGGCAGGGCGAGGCGAGAGAAAGAACUGAACAGGAAGGUGAGCUGGCCUCCCAGUCCCACGGUGAGGGGACUGCCAGGGGCUCCGGGCCUCGGGAGGCUCUGAGGCAGCAGCACGACUGCAGCAUGGACCAUGUUGGUGGAACUGGGCCUCAAGCCUGGCAGGGGAGGGAGAGGCACCUGGGCACCAGCUCUGCACAUUUGACCUGAGACUCAAGGCCUGGUUUUGCUGACCACAAAGUAGGGGACACUAGUCACGUGUCUUUACUUCUCUUUCUUCUUCUGUAAAGUGGGGGAGACUAUGCCAGCCUCCCGGGGUUCGGUGUGUGUGUACAGCUGGCUCAGAAGUUACCAUGUCCCCAGCAGCCUCUCCCCCAGCCCAGCUUUGCUCCCCAGCUCCUCCCAUCCCAGGGGCUUUGGGGGCACAGGAUCUGAGACUGGGCAAAAGGCAGAAACCCUGCAGAAUGAAUUGGUUCCUUUCUCCAGGCCGGGGAGGGGAAGGGACGCAACCAAAGCCCCCCGGUAAACUGGAAGCAGAGCCAGGCUGCUUCCCAGAGACGGUGGCAUUCUGGAAAGCAGAGGGCCUUCCGGCACUUACUAGGGUUUUGAUGUCUGAAUCUGUGUCCUUGUACCUCGUGCUGUGACUUCUGGUGGGUUCCCUU